UGAGUGUAAAUGAGGUAGGCGGAAUGCGUGGUGUAGCGGUGAAAUGCAUAGAUAUCACGCAGAACUCCGAUUGCGAAGGCAGCUUACUAAGCUACAACUGACACUGAAGCACGAAAGCGUGGGGAUCAAACAGGAUUAGAUACCCUGGUAGUCCACGCAGUAAACGAUGAUUACUAGCUGUUUGCGAUACACAGUAAGCGGCACAGCGAAAGCGUUAAGUAAUCCACCUGGGGAGUACGCCGGCAACGGUGAAACUCAAAGGAAUUGACGGGGGCCCGCACAAGCGGAGGAACAUGUGGUUUAAUUCGAUGAUACGCGAGGAACCUUACCCGGGUUUGAACGUAGGGAGACAGGGGUGGAAACAUCCUUUUCAGCAAUGACUGCCUACGAGGUGCUGCAUGGUUGUCGUCAGCUCGUGCCGUGAGGUGUCGGCUUAAGUGCCAUAACGAGCGCAACCCUUAUUUCCAGUUACUAACAGGUGAAGCUGAGGACUCUGGAGAGACUGCCAGCGUAAGCUGUGAGGAAGGUGGGGAUGACGUCAAAUCAGCACGGCCCUUACAUCCGGGGCGACACACGUGUUACAAUGGUAAGGACAAAGGGCAGCUACCGGGCGACCGGAUGCGAAUCUCUAAACCUUAUCUCAGUUCGGAUCGGAGUCUGCAACUCGACUCCGUGAAGCUGGAUUCGCUAGUAAUCGCGCAUCAGCCAUGGCGCGGUGAAUACGUUCCCGGGCCUUGUACACACCGCCCGUCAAGCCAUGGGAGCCGGGGGUACCUGAAGUUCGUAACCGCAAGGAUCGACCUAGGGUAAAACUGGUGACUGGG
rnacentral:rRNA from 1 species